rnacentral:rRNA from 1 species
AUUGAACGCUGGCGGCAGGCCUAACACAUGCAAGUCGAACGAGUGGCGGACGGGUGAGUAAUGUAUGGGAAUCUGCCCGAUAGAGGGGGAUAACUACUGGAAACGGUAGCUAAUACCGCAUACCAUCGGAUGUACCCAUAUGGGAUUAGCUAGUAGGUGAGGUAACGGCUCACCUAGGCGACGAUCCCUAGCUGGUCUGAGAGGAUGACCAGCCACACUGGAACUGAGACACGGCCCAGACUCCUACGGGAGGCAGCAGUGGGGAAUAUUGCACAAUGGGCGCAAGCCUGAUGCAGCCAUGCCGCGUGUAUGAAGAAGGCCUUAGGGUUGUAAAGUACUUUCAGCCGGGAGGCGUUACCCGCAGAAGAAGCACCGGCUAACUCCGUGCCAGCAGCCGCGGUAAUAC